rnacentral:rRNA from 1 species
AUUGAACGCUGGCGGCAGGCCUAACACAUGCAAGUCGAACGAGUGGCGGACGGGUGAGUAAUGUCUGGGAAAAUGCCUGAUGGAGGGGGACAACUACUGUAAACGGUAGCUAAUACCGCACACCAUUGGAGGCGCCAAGAUGGGAUUAGCUAGUAGGUGGGGGAAAGGCUCACCUAGGAGACGAUCCCUAGCUGGUCUGAGAGGAUGACCAGCCAAACUGGGACUGAGACACGGUCCAGACUCCUACGGGAGGCAGCAGUGGGGAAUAUUGCACAAUGGGCGCAAGCCUGAUGCAGCCAUGCCGCGUGUAUGAAGAAGGCCUUCGGGUUGUAAAGUACUUUCAGCGGGGAGGCGUUACCCGCAGAAGAAGCACCGGCUAACUCCGUGCCAGCAGCCGCGGUAAUAC